rnacentral:rRNA from 1 species
AGCGCAGGCGGCCAAAUCAGUCUGAAGUGAAAUCCCCGGAGCUUAACUCCGGACGUGCUUUGGAUACUGUUUGGCUUGAGUUCGCGAGAGGUAAGCGGAAUUCCAGGUGUAGCGGUGAAAUGCGUAGAUAUCUGGAGGAACAUCGGUGGCGAAAGCGGCUUACUGGCGCGAUACUGACGCUGAGGCUCGAAAGCGUGGGGAGCGAACG